rnacentral:rRNA from 1 species
UACGUAGGUGGCAAGCGUUGUCCGGAUUUACUGGGCGUAAAGGGCGUGCAGGCGGUUUGUUAAGUCUAGGGUGAAAGCUCCCGGCUCAACUGGGAGAGGUCCUUGGAUACUGGCAGACUUGAGGAGGGUAGAGGAGAGUGGAAUUCCCGGUGUAGUGGUGAUAUGCGUAGAUAUCGGGAGGAACACCGGUGGCGAAGGCGGGUCUCUGGGCAAUUCCUGACGCUGAGGCGCGAAAGCGUGGGGAGCAAACGGG